AUUUAUAUAAUAAUUUAUUUAUAUAAUAUAAUAAGUAUAAUUGACUUCCAAUCAAAAAGUCUAAAUAAAUUAGUAUAAAUA
rnacentral:tRNA from 1 species